rnacentral:rRNA from 1 species
AGUGAACGCUGGCGGCGUGCCUAAUACAUGCAAGUCGAACGGAGUGGCGCACGGGUGAGUAAUGUAUAGCUAAUCUGCCCUACACUAGAGGACAACAGCUGGAAACGGCUGCUAAUACUCUAUAGUGUAGGAUGAGGCUAUAUUGUAUCAGCUAGUUGGUGAUGUAAUGGCUCACCAAGGCUAUGACGCAUAACUGGUCUGAGAGGAUGAGCAGUAGCCCCGGAACUGAGACACGGGUCAGACUCCUUCGGGAAGCAGCAGUAGGGAAUAUUGCUCAAUGGGCGAAUCCCUGAAGCAGCAACGCCGCGUGGAGGAUGACACUUUUCGGAGCGUAAACUCCUUUUGUUAGGGAAGCGGUACCUAACGAAUAAGCACCGGCUAACUCCGUGCCAGCAGCCGCGGUAAUAC